rfam:Asian citrus Psyllid, Diaphorina citri - Florida Strain, whole genome shotgun sequence.
GCUCCCAUGAUGUAGUGGUCACUGCGCCCGCCUUGCACGCGGGAGACCCGGGUUCGAAUCCCGGCGGGGUUA